rnacentral:siRNA from 1 species
CACUCGCACCAACCUCGUGCCA